rnacentral:rRNA from 1 species
AACGAACGCUGGCGGCAGGCCUAACACAUGCAAGUCGAACGCUGUAGCAAUACAGAGUGGCAGACGGGUGAGUAACGCGUGGGAACCUUCCCAAUGGUGCGGAAUAGCCCAGGGAAACUUGGGGUAAUACCGCAUAAGCCCUUAGGGGGAAAGAUUUAUCGCCAUUGGAUGGGCCCGCGUCGGAUUAGCUAGUUGGUGAGGUAAUGGCUCACCAAGGCAACGAUCCGUAGCUGGUUUGGGAGAAUGACCAGCCACACUGGGACUGAGACACGGCCCAGACUCCUACGGGAGGCAGCAGUGGGGAAUCUUGGACAAUGGGCGCAAGCCUGAUCCAGCCAUGCCGCGUGAGUGACGAAGGCCUUAGGGUUGUAAAGCUCUUUUGCCGGGGACGAUAAUGACGGUACCCGGAGAAUAAGUCCCGGCUAACUUCGUGCCAGCAGCCGCCGUAA